rnacentral:tRNA from 1 species
UGGCUCAGUGGUAGAGUACUUGCCUUGCAUGCAUGAGGCCCUGGGUUCGAUUCCUGA